GACAGAGGGUGCAAACGUUGUUCGGAAUUACUGGGCGUAAAGCGCGUGUAGGCGGUUUAUUAAGUCGGAUGUGAAAGCCCUGGGCUCAACCCAGGAAGUGCACUCGAAACUGGUAGACUUGAGUAUCGGAGAGGUUGGUGGAAUUCUCGGUGUAGAGGUGAAAUUCGUAGAUAUCGAGAGGAACACCGGUGGCGAAGGCGGCCUUCUGGACAGUGACUGACGCUGAGACGCGAAAGCGUGGGGAGCAAACAGG
rnacentral:rRNA from 1 species